GGAGAGGUGUCCGAGUGGUUGAAGGAGCCGGUCUCGAAAACCGGUGGGCCCUCGCGGGUCUCGUGGGUUCGAAUCCCACCCUCUCCG
rnacentral:tRNA from 1 species